GACGAACGCUGGCGGCGUGCUUAACACAUGCAAGUCGAACGCUGAAGCUCAGCUUUUGUUGGGUGGAUGAGUGGCGAACGGGUGAGUAACACGUGAGUAACCUGCCCCCUUCUUUGGGAUAACGCCCGGAAACGGGUGCUAAUACUGGAUAUUCACUGGUCUUCGCAUGGGGGUUGGUGGAAAGGGUUUUUCUGGUGGGGGAUGGGCUCGCGGCCUAUCAGCUUGUUGGUGGGGUGAUGGCCUACCAAGGCUUUGACGGGUAGCCGGCCUGAGAGGGUGACCGGUCACAUUGGGACUGAGAUACGGCCCAGACUCCUACGGGAGGCAGCAGUGGGGAAUAUUGCACAAUGGGCGCAAGCCUGAUGCAGCGACGCCGCGCGAGGGAUGGAGGCCUUCGGGUUGUGAACCUCUUUCGCUCAUGGUCAAGCCGCAACAAUGGUUGUGGUGAGGGUAGUGGGUAAAGAAGCGCCGGCUAACUACGUG
rnacentral:rRNA from 1 species